AUUCUCAUUGGGCUGAGUUGGAAUUGUUCCGAUCCACUGAAAGGAGUUUCAGUGAUAUUGUUGAUAGUGAUCAAAAUAUAUCUCACUACCAGAUAGAAUAGAACCUAUGGGGUCACACACAUAAGAGGUUGUGAUUGAUCGGAUAGCUAGAUCGCGAUUAUUGAAUCGCCGGAGGACCUAAUUGUCAAUAUGUUGAUAAUUGGACUAAUUUGUAAUUAUUAUAAAUUAGUGGUAUUAAAGUGUAAAUGUUACAAGAGAGGGUUUACUAAUAGUUAAUAAAUUAUAAGAGGACUUAUGUGCAAAUA
rnacentral:lncRNA from 1 species